rnacentral:rRNA from 1 species
CUACGGGUGGCUCCAGUGGGGAAUAUUGCACAAUGGAGGAAACUCUGAUGCAGCAACGCCGCGUGGAGGAUGACACUUUUCGGAGCGUAAACUCCUUUUAUAUAGGAAGAAGAUGACGGUACUAUAUGAAUAAGCGCCCGCUAACUCCGUGCCAGCAGCCGCGGUAAUACGGAGGGCGCAAGCGUUAGUCGGAAUCACUGGGCGUAAAGAGCGUGUAGGCGGAUUAAAAAGUCAGAAGUGAAAUCCUAUAGCUUAACUAUAGAACUGCUUCUGAAACUCUUAAUCUAGAAUAUGGGAGAGGUAGAUGGAAUUUCUGGUGUAGGGGUAAAAUCCGUAGAGAUCAGAAGGAAUACCGAUUGCGAAGGCGAUCUACUAGAACAUUAUUGACGCUGAGACGCGAAAGCGUGGGGAGCAAACAGGAUUAGAUACCCUGGUAGUC